GGUUCUGGCUCAGUGGUAGAGUGUUUGCCUAGCAUGCAUGAGGCACUGGGUUGGAUUCUCAGCACCA
rnacentral:tRNA from 1 species